GCUUCUGCCUAGGGAAGUAGAAAAACAAAGCCGGGAGCGUCGCCACGGCAAUUGGAAAACUUCAGGAGCGCUUAAGCGGUCGAGGUGUUAGAACGUGUUUGGCGUCGUGAAGGAAAUACCUACCAACGUAGAGAAGGGUCGACGGAAUCUUGGAAGUGAUGAGGUGAUGCCUUCCUUUACUCUUGGGAAACUGCAGCCGGCGGAUGAAGGUUCAGAUCCCAAAAGAAUUACUGUCAUUCUGAAUCCUGGGCUGAGAAUCAGCACAUCCCACUGAAUAUCCCUGUUUGUGAUUCCACAAUCUGGAUAGCCAAAAAGAGAUGACACAAGUCAGGAAUCCAGGGAGAGACAAGUGUCUGGGAGGCUGCCCUCCUCAAGGAUGGUCUUCUCAGCUCAGCCCUGCUGCAAGCAGAAAUUUCACGACUGCAGAAUCAGGCUGGUUAAAUCAUAAGGCUUGCCCUGGCAAGGGCACCUGGAGCCACUCCUAAUAAACUCCUGGAAUAGCUCCUCAAAGUUUGGGAAAAAAGGAUGCCUACAGUAAAUGAGGUGGAGAUGAUGGAAAUUCCUUGGCAGAGGAAGGGGUCAAAGGCACAGAAAGGCGGGCCUAUUAGAACUGACUUAUUUGUGCAACAGCAGAGAAUCACCAGAUGACUAUGUUUCUCAGGAAGAGCCUCCCCAAAGCCUGGGAUCCACGAGCACUAUGUUAAGAACUGGAUGAAAAUCUUCCUUACAGAAAGUUCACGGUGGAAAAUAAAUGGCAGGGAAGCUUGGAUACCGUGGACAUCUGAAGUGACCAAGGACCACCAGGUGGCAGCAGAGUCUCAACUAAACUGUCCACCAACUUGGGCACCAAGUCAGGCGGCCAGGUGCUCCUGCAGAAAGUUACAAAAGUCUACAUAUUGGAUCAACUCUAAGUCCAUGAUAUGUAACCUCAGUGGUAACCUCAAGGCUGCUGAAGUUUCCUCUUUUCAUCCUUAGUUAAUUCCUUGGGGCAUUGCUCACAGAAGCAAUUCUAAGCCUUCUCCACUCGCUGAAGUCCCUUUCUGCAUUUCAGCUCCUCUACCACAGCAGAUGACCUCACAUCCUCCUUUGUCUGGAGGACUGGGACCAUCCAUCCAGUCCUCCUCUGCAGGCCCUCUCCACUGUAGACAGAGCACAGGACCUACAGAGUCCUCCAUGGUACAUUUAUUGAGCUGAAUGGGAAAGACAUCAGAAAUUUCAUCCUUUUCAAGGCAAAGUAAGAAAACAGCUAGCCUACAUCUCAUCUCAGAAUCAACUUACUACUCUGAAUGAUAUGUUACUCUCUUAGUCAGCUCGGGCUGACAAAAUAACACAGCCUGGGUGGCUUAAUCAAUAGACAUUUAUCCUCACAGUUCUGGAGGCCAGGAAGUCCAAGGUCAAGGUGCCAGCCAAUUCGGUUCCUGGUGAACAUCUUCUUCCUGGUUUGUAGACAGCCACCUUCUCCUUACGUUCUUACGUGGUUUUUCCUUGGGUGCAUACAGAGCGAGAAAGAGAUCUCUCUCUCUCUCCUCUUCUUAUAAGGCCACCAAUCCCAUCAUGAGGGCUUCACCUUCAUGAUCUAAUCUAACUCCUAUGGCCUCAUCUACAAAUACCAUCACAUUGGGGAUUAGGGUCUCAGCAUAUGAGUUUGGGGUACACAGAUAUUUAGUCCAGAACAGUUACAAAUGUUGAUGGCUGGAGUGUUUCCUAACUUAGGACUGGGGUGGCAGCUGUUAAAAAUCUCAUCUGCAAAGACAGUGCUUUCAAACUUUUCAUUGAAAAAUUCACAAACUAACAUAAAAUCUAUUCUGUCCAAUUUUAAUUGACCUUGUUCUUCCUGUGCAAUGAUUUCUGAUUCAUUUAUUCAGUCAUUCAAUUAGUAAAUACUUAACUGACUUGAGCCAAGACUCCUAACUACUACGUACUGCCAAAUACAGACAUGUGAUGAUGAAGCACAUUUGUGGCAGAUAAAGAAUAUUUAACAAGAAGAAUCAUUCAUCCAGAAUUUGUCAGACUCCCCCUUCAGCACUAUGGAAAGAGAAUCCAUUCACUGGCCCGCAGGCAUAGGCCAGUGUGCUCAGCUGGGUGCUCAGUCAAGAGGUAAGUGCCUCAGAAUAAAGUUUUUAUUAUAAUCUCUCCCGAUAUUCAAGUAGUUUUCAAAGGCUUUCUAUUUAAUGAAAAGAUAAUGUGUGACUAGCAGAUACAUGUAUGUUCUAGACUGCAUGAUGGGUACCUCUCUCAGAACAGUCACUUAGAAUCCUGCCCCAUUUAUCCGUUUGUUAUGAACUAGAUUAUUAUGGAUUAUCCCAACUCAGAUCACUUCUGAGUAAACUAACAAAGAUGAACUUUUAAAUUUGCAACACUGUAGACUAGACCUUGGCUUCAAAAUGACCUCACCAAUGCACUGGCUGGCAUCCUCGAAGGUUCAGCUUGACCCUUGUUGUCUCUUAAAGCUAUCAGUACUAAAUUAAAGACACGUCCAAUUUAAACUGUAUUAAUUGAAUUUAAUUAAUUUACUCUUGAUUUAAUAUUAAAAAUUAAUUUAUGAGAUAAUGUAUUAAUAAAUUAAAUUAUUAAAAUG